rnacentral:rRNA from 1 species
CGCCCAGACUCCUACGGGAGGCAGCAGUCGAGAAUCAUUCACAAUGGGGGAAACCCUGAUCCAGCGACGCCGCGUGAGUGAAGAAGUAUUUCGGUACGUAAAGCUCUAUCAGCAGGAAAGAAAAUGACGGUACCUGACUAAGAAGCCCCGGCUAACUACGUGCCAGCAGCCGCGGUAAUACGUAGGGGGCAAGCGUUAUCCGGAUUUACUGGGUGUAAAGGGAGCGUAGACGGCAGCGCAAGUCUGGAGUGAAAUGCCGGGGCCCAACCCCGGAACUGCUUUGGAAACUGUGCAGCUAGAGUGCAGGAGAGGUAAGUGGAAUUCCUAGUGUAGCGGUGAAAUGCGUAGAUAUUAGGAGGAACACCAGUGGCGAAGGCGGCUUACUGGACUGUAACUGACGUUGAGGCUCGAAAGCGUGGGGAGCAAACAGGAUUAGAUACCCGCGUA